rnacentral:rRNA from 1 species
AACGAACGCUGGCGGCAUGCUUAACACAUGCAAGUUGAACGCAGAAUAGAGCUUCGGCUCUAUUGCUGAGUAGCAAACGGGUGAGUAACGCGUGGGAAUCUGCCUUCUUGUGGGGGAUAACUAAGGGAAACUUUAGCUAAUACCGCAUACGCUCUACGGAGGAAAGGCUUCGGCCGCAAGAAGAGGAGCCCGCGUCAGAUUAGGUAGUUGGUAGGGUAAAGGCCUACCAAGCCAAUGAUCUGUAGCUGGUCUGAGAGGAUGAUCAGCCACACUGGGACUGAGACACGGGCCCAGACUCCUACGGGAGGCAGCAGUGGGGAAUAUUGGACAAUGGGGGAAACCCUGAUCCAGCAAUGCCGCGUGAAUGAAGAAGGCCUUAGGGUUGUAAAGUUCUUUCACCUGUGAAGAUAAUGACGGUAGCAGGAGAAGAAG